rnacentral:rRNA from 1 species
AGCAGCCGCGGUAAUUCCAGCUCCAAUAGCGUAUAUUAAAGUUGUUGCAGUUAAAAAGCUCGUAGUUGAAUUUCGGGAUCAGUGGGUCGGUCGUGCCACUGGUAUGCACUGGCCCUACUGGUUCCUCCUUCUUGAAGAACUGUAAUGCCAUUAAUUUGGUGUUGCAGGGAAACAGGACUGUUACUUUGAAAAAAUUAGAGUGUUUAAAGCAGGCAAUCGCUUGAAUACAUUAGCAUGGAAUAAUGAAAUAGGACGAUCGAUCCUAUUUUGUUGGUUUCUAGGAUUGACGUAAUGAUUAAUAGGGAUAGUUGGGGGCAUUAGUAUUCAAUUGUCAGAGGUGAAAUUCUUGGAUUUAUUGAAGACUAACUACUGCGAAAGCAUUUGCCAAGGAUGUUUUCAUUAAUCAAGAACGAAAGUUAGGGGAUCGAAGACGAUCAGAUACCGUCGUAGUCUUAACCAUAAACUAUGCCGACUAGGGAUCGGAUGAUGUUAAUUUUUA